rnacentral:sRNA from 1 species
UUUUUUUCUUCUUCUUCAUCAGCAACGAACCAGACCAGACAGAGACGGAAGAAGA